UCCCCUUCUCUCCGUCCAACGGAAGCCUCCCUCUCCGGAACCGCACCCGCACGCCCUCCACUGCAUGAACCACCGCCACCGCACGCUCGCCCCACCCUCCGCCUCCACCGUACGCGCGCCGUCGUCACUCCGCCCGGCCGCCGUACGCUCGCCACGCCUCCACCUCGAGUUGCCCUCCACCGCACGGCCAGCCGCCGCCGCACGCUCGCCCCCCCCUCCACCUCCUCCCUCUGCGCCCGACACCUCCGCACGCUCGUACGGCUGGGGCGGCGCCUCACUGCCCUUCGCCCGGCGCCCUCACCGGCUCGCGCGACGCCACCGCUGCCGCCUUUGCUUGGCUGACCGGGGCGGACGCCUCACUCCCCUCUCGCGCGCUCGGCCUCUGCUCGGCUAGGACGCCUCCCUCCCCUCCGGCGCACGACCCGCCGCCGUGCCGUCCCAGCAUCUCACCCUCACCCACCACCGCACCUCGACUUCGCCCGGCGGCCGCUCGUCCAUCGCCCGGGCCCUUUCGGUGGGAGGGGGCUGGGUAAUUUUGUCUGCGUGGGUGGGCCGGCUACAGUAAUUUUUUGCCUACACGGUACCAGGCCGAAAAAUUUUGGGCCAGGCCGAAAUUGUUCGGCAUCUAAACGCUGCCUGAUGAUGGAGGGAUUUCAUCCCAACAACAAUGGCUGCAUCAAGUUUGCAUGGAGAUAAUGUGAAAAAUCGAUUGAUAAGAGAGCAAGACCAGGCCAGGCAUUCAGCUAGUCAAAGCAAAAAAAUGGUGGCGGUGGCGGACGAGUAUGAAGACGCUCUCUCCCUCUUCGCCUCCCGCCUCCUCUCCCACCCCUGCACCACCUUCGGGGACGGGGAGGGGGACCACCACCUCCGCCUGCUCCAGGCCGCGCUCUCCGCUGGCCCAGACGUCCCCGCUCUGCUACACACGCGCUCCGCCGCCCGCCGCCUGCUUCAGGACCGCGCUAAGGAGGCAUUCUCCGCUGCGCAGGCGCAGGCUCCUCCCCUGGACCAUGCCCGGAUCCUCGCCGUCGCCGACUUCUUCGCCCGGGCCUUCGCCCUCGUCGCCGAUGUCCAGAGCUGCCUUGCCAUGAGAUAUGAGGCCCUGCUUCUGCGACACACUAAAUUCUCUGACAACCACCAUCUCAAAGUGUCACGUGAGGAGUGGUCAACUUUCGCAAAGGAUGCUCUUCACGACGGCUUCUACAACAUUGCUUCCAAGGCAUUUGCAUAUGCUACUGCGCACACUCAUCGCAGCCAGUUGGACUCUACUAAUUCCAUUGAGAAGGACAAGAUCAAUGAUAUGACUGGACUUCAAAACCUGGCGAAGUCAUUAUCUGCAAAGCAUUCUGUUCAGAGUGAGUCAGCUGAAUACAUGAAAAGGAGAAAUUCAGGUGUUCAUGAGAAGUAUAAUUUGCAAUCAGGAAAACCAAAGUUACCAGGAAGUUCAAUGUAUAUGUUAGGGAUCAAAACAAGGAACAUAAAGAAACUGCUUCAUAGUCGUGAAAGGAAUUUGGGGGAUAUUUGAAGCAAUCUUAGUAUGGCAUCUUCCACAAGACUGACAAUAAUGACCAUUAUCUGCAGUAGGAGCCAUUUUGUGAAAGGUCAAUUGCAUCGAAAAUAAGCUGUUCGCAUGGCGGUAUCAUGCCAUUGGCAUAUUCGCUAUAAAUGGUUUGGUGAUUACACUACUAUAAUAUUUAACUACAUUUUCCACCAUUAUUUUUCUUGCUGGUUGAUUACUGGCCCAUCUCAUCAGUGUACAGUUUUUUGCUUAGUAUAUAUUUCAGAAAUGUUGAACUUUGCUUUUUAUGUGGAACUCGAUUAGGCGAGAAUUUUUGCAAUGGAGACAUGAAGUGGAGUUCAUGUAUGAGUCUUUGAUUCAAACUUUAAGACGAAGCUGUCAAAGACUACAUAUAUACCUGUGUCCUUGAGUAGCAUAUUCACUCUGCAAGUUGCUACUUUCCAUAUCUGCAGAACGUUGUUCAUGUGCAGGACAAUAAUAAAUAGCAAUAGUGUCAUGCUUAACAUGUUGCCUUAUUAUAUGAAUUGAAUUUUUUUUGACUGAUGUGGAUGCCAGAUAUUGGAAAAACGGUGCUUGUGAAGCAUUUUCUUUU